rnacentral:rRNA from 1 species
CGAUUUGAUGCAAGGUUAAGCAGUAAAUGUGGAGCCGUAGCGAAAGCGAGUCUGAAUAGGGCGUUUAGUAUUUGGUCGUAGACCCGAAACCAGGUGAUCUACCCUUGGUCAGGUUGAAGUUCAGGUAACACUGAAUGGAGGACCGAACCGACUUACGUUGAAAAGUGAGCGGAUGAACUGAGGGUAGCGGAGAAAUUCCAAUCGAACCUGGAGAUAGCUGGUUCUCUCCGAAAUAGCUUUAGGGCUAGCCUCAAGUGAUGAUUAUUGGAGGUAGAGCACUGUUUGGACGAGGGGCCCCUCUCGGGUUACCGAAUUCAGACAAACUCCGAAUGCCAAUUAAUUUAACUUGGGAGUCAGAACAUGGGUGAUAAGGUCCGUGUUCGAAAGGGAAACAGCCCAGACCACCAGCUAAGGUCCCAAAAUAUAUGUUAAGUGGAAAAGGAUGUGGCGUUGCCCAGACAACUAGGAUGUUGGCUUAGAAGCAGCCAUCAUUUAAAGAGUGCGUAAUAGCUCACUAGUCGAGUGACACUGCGCCGAAAAUGUACCGGGGCUAAACAUAUUACCGAAGCUGUGGAUUGUCCUUUGGACAAUGGUAGGAGAGCGUUCUAAGGGCGUUGAAGCAUGAUCGUAAGGACAUGUGGAGCGCUUAGAAGUGAGAAUGCCGGUGUGAGUAGCGAAAGACGGGUGAGAAUCCCGUCCACCGAUUGACUAAGGUUUCCAGAGGAAGGCUCGUCCGCUCUGGGUUAGUCGGGUCCUAAGCUGAGGCCGACAGGCGUAGGCGAUGGAUAACAGGUUGAUAUUCCUGUACCACCUAUAAUCGUUUUAAUCGAUGGGGGGACGCAGUAGGAUAGGCGAAGCGUGCGAUUGGAUUGCACGUCUAAGCAGUAAGGCUGAGUAUUAGGCAAAUCCGGUACUCGUUAAGGCUGAGCUGUGAUGGGGAGAAGACAUUG